rnacentral:rRNA from 1 species
AUUAAAGCCCUCUUCGGAGGGUGCAUAAAGUGGCGCACGGGUGAGUAACACGUAAGUAAUCUACCUUCGAGUGGGGAAUAACGUUCGGAAACGAACGCUAAUACCGCAUAAUGCAGCGGCAUCUAUGAUGACAGUUGUUAAAGAUUUAUCGCUUGAAGAGGAGCUUGCGGCAGAUUAGCUAGUUGGUAAGGUAACGGCUUACCAAGGCGACGAUCUGUAUCCGGUCUAAGAGGACGGUCGGACACACUGACACUGAAUAACGGGUCAGACUCCUACGGGAGGCAGCAGUCGGGAAUUUUGGGCAAUGGGCGAAAGCCUGACCCAGCAACGCCGCGUGAAGGAUGAAGUUUUUCGGAAUGUAAACUUCGUAAGAAUAGGAAGAAUAAAUGACGGUACUAUUUGUAAGGUCCGGCUAACUACGUGCCAGCAGCCGCGGUAAUACGUAGGGACCAAGCGUUGUUCGGAUUUACUGGGCGUAAAGGGCGCGUAGGCGGCAAUUCAAGUCAGCUGUGAAAUCUCCGGGCUUAACUCGGAACGGUCAGCUGAUACUGCUUUGCUAGAGUGCAGAAGGGGCAAUCGGAAUUCUUGGUGUAGCGGUGAAAUGCGUAGAUAUCAAGAGGAACACCUGAGGUGAAGACGGGUUGCUGGGCUGACACUGACGCUGAGGCGCGAAAGCUAGGGUAGCAAACGGGAUUAGAUACCCCGGUAGUCCUAGCCCUAAACGAUGAAUACUUGGUGUCUGGAGUUUUUAUCCUCCGGGUGCCGUCGCUAACGUUUUAAGUAUUCCGCCUGGGGAGUACGCACGCAAGUGUGAAACUC